UGAGGUAGUUAAGAAUAGCACUGCUAUUCACGAAGAGCAAGUGCAUUCUUAUCCUGUCUCAGC
rnacentral:pre_miRNA from 1 species